UGAGUACGAGAUGCUACGGCAUCGAAGCAGUCUAUGUCAUACUUCCAAGAAAAGCUUGCACUGUCAUAAACAAAGAAUGCCUGUACCAUAACCGACACAGGUGGGUAGGUAGAGUAUACUAAGGGGCGCGAGAUAACUCUCUCUAAGGAACUCGGCAAAAUGACUCCGUAACUUCGGGAGAAGGAGUGCCUUAUUUCUAAGGUUGCAAUAACAAGAUCCAAGCAACUGUUUACCAAAAACACAGGUCUCCGCUAAGUCGUAAGACGAUGUAUGGGGGCUGACGCCUGCCCAGUGCCAGAAGGUUAAAGAAGUUGGUUAGCAUUCGCGAAGCUGAUAACUGAAGCCCUGGUGAACGGCGGCCGUAACAAUAACGGUCCUAAGGUAGCGAAAUUCCUUGUCGGGUAAGUUCCGACCCGCACGAAAGGCGUAAUGAUUUGGAUACUGUCUCGGAGAGGGGCUCGGUGAAAUAGACUUGUCUGUGAAGAUGCGGACUACCUGCACCUGGACAGAAAGACCCUAUGAAGCUUUACUGUAACUUGAGAUUGAAAUUGGACUUUAUUUGCGCAGUAUAGGUGGGAGGCGUUGAGAGCAAACUUGCGGGAUUGUUGGAGCCAUCAGUGAGAUACCACUCUUGUAAUGUUAGAUUUCUAACUUUGUAUCAUGAUCUGGUCAAAGAACAGUUUCAGGCGGGCAGUUUGACUGGGGCGGUCGCCUCCCAAACGGUAACGGAGGCGCACAAAGGUUUCCUCUGAACGGGUAGAAAUCGUAUCUAGAGUGUAAAGGCAUAAGGAAGCUUGACUGUGAGACCUACAAGUCGAGCAGGGACGAAAGUCGGUCUUAGUGAUCUGACGGUGCUGAGUGGAAAGGCCGUCACUCAACGGAUAAAAGUUACUCUAAGGAUAACAGGCUGAUCUCCCCCAAGAGUUCACAUCGACGGGGAGGUUUGGCACCUCGAUGUCGGCUCAUCGCAUCCUGGGGCGGUAGUACGUCCCAAGGGUUGGGCUGUUCGCCCAUGAAAGCGGUACGCGAGCUGGGUUCAGAACGUCGUGAGACAGUUCGGUCCAUAUCCGGUGUAGGCGUUAGAAUAUUGAGAGGAGCCUUCUCUAGUACGAGAGGACCGAGAAGGACAUACCUCUGGUGUACCAGUUAUCGUGCCAACGGUAAACGCUGGGUAGCUAUGUAUGGAGUGGAUAACCGCUGAAAGCAUCUAAGUGGGAAGCCCACCUCAAGAUAAG
rnacentral:rRNA from 1 species